GACGAACGCUGGCGGCGUGCUUAACACAUGCAAGUCGAACGGAAAGGCCCUGCUUUUGUGGGGUGCUCGAGUGGCGAACGGGUGAGUAACACGUGAGUAACCUGCCCUUGACUUUGGGAUAACUUCAGGAAACUGGGGCUAAUACCGGAUAGGAGCUCCUGCUGCAUGGUGGGGGUUGGAAAGUUUCGGCGGUUGGGGAUGGACUCGCGGCUUAUCAGCUUGUUGGUGGGGUAGUGGCUUACCAAGGCCUUGACGGGUAGCCGGCCUGAGAGGGUGACCGGCCACAUUGGGACUGAGAUACGGCCCAGACUCCUACGGGAGGCAGCAGUGGGGAAUAUUGCACAAUGGGCGGAAGCCUGAUGCAGCAACGCCGCGUGCGGGAUGACGGCCUUCGGGUCGUAAACCGCUUUCGCCUGUGACGAAGCGUGAGUGACGGUAAUGGGUAAAGAAGCACCGGCUAACUACGUG
rnacentral:rRNA from 1 species